GAUGAACGCUGGCGGCGUGCCUAAUACAUGCAAGUCGAGCGAACAGACGAGGAGCUUGCUUCUCUGACGUUAGCGGCGGACGGGUGAGUAACACGUGGAUAACCUACCUAUAAGACUGGGAUAAUCUCGGGAAUCCGGAGCUAAUACCGGAUAAUCUACUGCACCGCAUGGUUCAAUAGUGAAAGACGGUUUUGCUGUCACUACUAGAUGGAUCUGCGCCGCAUUGGCUAGUUGGUAAGGUAACGGCUUACCAAGGCAACCAUGCGUAGCCGACCUGAGAGGGUGAUAGGCCACACUGGAACUGGGACACGGUCCAGACUCCUACGGGAGGCAGCAGUAGGGAAUCUUCCGCAAUGGGCGAAAGCCUGGCGGAGCAACCCCGCGUGAGUGAUGAAGGUCUUCGGAUCGUAAAACUCUGUUAUUAGGGAAGAACAAAUGUGUAAGUAACUAUGCACGUCUUGACGGUACCUAAUCAGAAAGCCACGGCUAACUACGUG
rnacentral:rRNA from 1 species